rnacentral:tRNA from 1 species
GCGGGAGUGGCCGAGUCUGGCCAAAGGCGGCGGACUUAAGAUCCGCUCUCUCAGGAGUUCGUGGGUUCGAAUCCUACCUCCCGCA